GAUGAACGCUGGCGGCGUGCCUAAUACAUGCAAGUCGAGCGAACAGACGAGGAGCUUGCUCCUCUGACGUUAGCGGCGGACGGGUGAGUAACACGUGGAUAACCUACCUAUCAGACGGGGAUAACUUCGGGAAACCGGAGCUAAUACCGGAUAAUAUAUUGAACCGCAUGGUUCAAUAGUGAAAGACGGCUUUGCUGUCACUUAUAGAGGGAUCCGCGCCGCAUUAGCUAGUUGGUAAGGUAACGGCUUACCAAGGCAACGAUGCGUAGCCGACCUGAGAGGGUGAUCGGCCACCCUGGAACUGAGACACGGUCCAGACUCCUAAGGGAGGCCGCAGUAGGGAAUCUUACGCAACGGGCGAAAGCCUGACAGAGCGACGCCGCGUGAGUGAUGAAGAUCUUCGGAUCGUAAAGCUCUGUUAUUAGGGAUAAACAAAUGUGUAAGUACCUAUGCACGUCUUGACGGUACCUAAUCAGAAAGCCCCGGCUAACUACGUG
rnacentral:rRNA from 1 species